rnacentral:rRNA from 1 species
CCUACGGGUGGCAGCAGUGAGGAAUAUUGGUCAAUGGGCUUACGCCUGAACCAGCCAAGCCGCGUGAGGGAAGACUGCCCUAUGGGUUGUAAACCUCUUUUGUCAGGGAGCAAUUGGCGCUACGUGUAGCGUUAUCGAGAGUACCUGCAGAAAAAGCAUCGGCUAACACCGUGCCAGCAGCCGCGGUAAUACGGGGGAUGCGAGGGUUAUCCGGAUUGAGUGGCUUUAAAGGGUGCGUGGGCGGAUUGCCAAGUCCACGGGAAAAGCGCGGGGCUCAACCCCGCUGCGCAGUUGAAACUGGCGUUCUUGAGUGCGCGAGAGGUAUGCGGAAUGCGUGGUGUAGCGGUGAAAUGCGUAGAUAUCACGCAGAACUCCGGUUGCGAAGGCAGCAUACCGGCGCCCAACUGACGCUGAGGCACGAAAGCGUGGGUAUCGAACAGGAUUAGAUACCCGAGUAGUC